AGCUUUAUAGUCAAUAAUGACACUAAAUUGCAAAUUUAGAGGAGAGUAGUUUCUAAGGCUU
rnacentral:tRNA from 1 species